GUUCUCGUAGCUCAUUCGGAUAGAGCGUCACGCUACGAACGUGAAGGUAGUAGGUUCGAUCCCUUCCGAGAACG
rnacentral:tRNA from 4 species